CGGCUUCAGAGUUGCUAUGGCUAUCGCCUGGUUCUACACACUGCUGAUCGUACUACGUUAUGGCCAACACAAACAACAUGUGCAGGAGUUGGUGAAUGCUUAUUGAGCUGUACACCUUUGUACCUGACUCCAACUGAUUGACACUGCUUUCUUACUUUAGUCAACUUUCAAACGCUUUGUUUUUCCGGUCUAUCCCUUGACGGCGAUUCAAUCAGGCACGGGCCGUAUGGACUGGUCAUAUUUUAUCUCAGGCAGGUCGGGAAUGCAGUUGUCUGGCAAGGUACGGACUGCACCAUUUAGCAGACAUCCUGGCAAACAUCCCUUAUGUAGGAACAGGACUUCUAUCAGGGUUCAGGGUUUUGUUUCGAAUUGUCUAUGCAAAUGGGCAGACUAGGUGCUGGCAACGACAAACGAGGAACCUCCCAAUCAACUUUAAUCCCUGAACUGUGCCAGAUGCGUCCUUUAAACUCCGUCCGCGCAUGUACAGUACAAGUAUGUGCACAAUCAGAGAGUUCAUCUGUACAAUCCGCAUCCUGUGGCAAGUUGCGAAUCAGACCAACUCGCCCCAUUUUCAUUCAAGAAAACUCAUACUCAAGAAUUGGGGGAGCGAAAGGAA
rnacentral:sRNA from 1 species